CUGGGAUUUAGUCUCAUCAUUUCCCUUAAACAGCAUCUCCCCAAGUGUGUUCUGCAGAACUCCAGUUCUGAGGGGUGAUAAGAGCUGGACUAAGAAAAAGGGGGUGGAUUCGGGAAACAGAAUUAUGUCAUGUUAGCCUGCAUCUGUGUUCUCUCACUUCAGCUUGAGGGUCUUACUGACAUUCUCACAGGAGUUGGGGCAUGAAUGGGGCUUUGAAGGAUUAUGUCAAAGAGUCAGGAAAACAAUUUUUGAGAAAGUGAGUAGAACUUGGAGAGGUGAGAGGGCUUAUAUUGUGGAGAUUUGAGUGACAUGAUAAAGUGGACUAGAAGAUGAAUUCAGGUUUUGUUGUUGUUGUUGUUGUUGGAAAGGAAAGGUGAGCAGCUAGAGGCAGGAAAAGGGGACCAUUCUGGACACUGUUAUAGUUAGUAUAGGUAUGCUAUGGUAAGGGCCUGAAACAGGGUGGUAGUAAUGGGGAUAGAAAAGAGAAAUUAGAUGUAAGAAAGACGUAGAACUAUGCAAGCUAUGCCCAUGGGAUAGUGACCAUGGUGCGGACAACAAUCAGCAGCAGCAGUGCUGUGUUAGCAGCUAAAAUCUGAGACCUCACCAUGUGCCAUGCUCUGUGCUGAGUGGACACAAUCCACGGAAUAUCUCAUUUACUCCUCUCAAGGAUGGUAGGAGGUAAUGUUUAUAUUUUACUGAUUAAGAAAUGGAGAUUGAUGGAGAUGAAAUUGUUUAAAUAACUUAGAGUUAGGAAGCAGUGCUUCUCACUUUGAAUCUCCAGAGAUGCUGUGGGAUCCAGGAGUGAGACUCCAGCUGCCCAGAGAGAUUGUGCAGAGGAGAUGAUGACCAGAAGCAGCAGGCAGUGCCUCUCUUAGGAAUCUUAUGUGCUCUGAGGCAGCUGAUGAAGCUAAUUUCACCAAAGAGGAGUCUCUGGAAAGAAAGGCCCUGGACUGGAGACAGUGCUUCCUGGAAUUCAUCCACAGAGGUGUCCACAGGUCUGCCUUGGCUACAGGCUGACUUGCUUCACAGCUAAGGAUAGUUUCUUUCUUUCACCUUGGUUGAGGUUGGCACAGCAACCGACAGCUCUCAAUCAAGCAACCGUCUUGUGAUCCAUCAGCUAGGA
rnacentral:lncRNA from 1 species